rnacentral:rRNA from 1 species
UACUAGAGUAGCACUCGCAUAUCAAUAAGCGGAGGAAAAGAAACUAACAAGGAUUCCCCUAGUAACGGCGAGUGAAGCGGGAAGAGCUCAAAUUUGAAAUCUUAAAGGGUUUCCCUUUACGAAUUGUAGUUUAAAGAAGUGUUUUCUGUUGGAGUUUCGGUAAAAGUUCUUUGGAAUAGGACAUCAUAGAGGGUGAGAAUCCCGUAUUUGACCGUUACUUUCCAGCUGUGUGAUACACUUUCAAAGAGUCGGAUUGUUUGGGAAUGCAGUCCAAAAUGGGUGGUAAAUUUCAUCUAAAGCUAAAUAUUGGCGAGAGACCGAUAGCGAACAAGUACCGUGAGGGAAAGAUGAAAAGAACUUUGAAAAGAGAGCUAAACAGUACGUGAAAUUGUCAAAAGGGAAGCGUUUGACACCAGUGUUGUUUAGUUGAAAAUCAAUUCAAUAAUUUUUGAUUUUAAGCAGUAUUGACUUCAUCAGCUUGCUGCUUUCUUUUCAGGAAUUAUUGAAUGCACUUUUCAGUUAACAAGUCAACAUCAAUUUCUUUUGUUGUAAAAGGGUAAGAGGAAGGUGGCUUACGCUUCGGCGUAAGUGUUUAUAGCCUUUUACCUCUGCAAUCGGAGAGAUUGAGGACAGCAGCGUAGACUCUUCGGGGUUAGAUACACUUGUGCUAAGCUAUAGCCUUGUAUAGACAACUUGUUGACUAUGCUCAGUCAUGUAGCUUACUCGCUUGUGCUAUUUUACCUACGCUUAGGAUGUUGAAGAUAUGCGCGACACG